rnacentral:rRNA from 1 species
GAUAAACGCUGGCGGCGUGCCUAACACAUGCAAGUCGAACGCGCUUUCGCGCAAGCGGGAGCGAGUGGCGGACGGGUGAGUAACGCGUGGAGAUCUACCCCUAGGUGAGGAAUACCGGCGAGAAAUCGCCGACAAUACCGCAUACGCUCGAAGCGAAGGCAACGAGCAAAGUCUGCAAAGACGCCUGGGGACGAGUCUGCGUCCGAUUAGUUAGUUGGCGGGGUCAAAGCCCACCAAGACGACGAUCGGUAGCUGGUCUGAGAGGAUGAUCAGCCAC